rnacentral:rRNA from 1 species
GACGUAGGGAGCGAGCGUUGUCCGGAUUCAUUGGGCGUAAAGGGUCCGUAGGCGGCUCAGCAAGUCGGGUGUGAAAUCUCCAGGCUCAACCUGGAGGGGCCACUCGAUACUGCUGUGGCUUGAGUCCAGUAGGGGAGCAUGGAAUUCCCGGUGUAGCGGUGAAAUGCGCAGAUAUCGGGAGGAACACCAGUGGCGAAGGCGGUGCUCUGGGCUGGAACUGACGCUGAGUGGACGAAAGCGUGGGUAGCAAACAGG